rnacentral:rRNA from 1 species
UACGUAGGGGGCAAGCGUUGUCCGGAAUCAUUGGGCGUAAAGCGCGUGUAGGCGGCCUGGGAAGUCCGUUCUGAAAGCCCGGGGCUCAACCCCGGGAGGCGGAUGGAUACUGCCAGGCUCGAGUCCGGAAGAGGCAAGUGGAAUUCCCGGUGUAGCGGUGAAAUGCGCAGAUAUCGGGAGGAACACCAAUGGCGAAGGCAGCUUGCUGGGACGGUACUGACGCUGAGACGCGAAAGCGUGGGGAGCAAACAGG